UACAGAGGGUGCAAGCGUUGCUCGGAUUUACUGGGCGUAAAGCGUACGCAGACGGCCACGCAGGUCGGGUGUGAAAGCCCCGGGCUCAACCCGGGAAUUGCAUUCGAAACCAUGUGGCUCGAGUGUGGGAGAGGGUAGUGGAACUGCGAGUGUAGAGGUGAAAUUCGUAGAUAUUCGCAAGAACACCAGUGGCGAAGGCGGCUCACUGGCCCGGUACUGACGCUGAGGUGCGAAAGCGUGGGGAGCAAACAGG
rnacentral:rRNA from 1 species